rnacentral:rRNA from 1 species
AUGAGCGCGCCACCCACCGCGUCCACAGAGACUGCCUUGAACCUAUGGUGCGCGAGCUGGAGGACGGCGGGGGAGGCCAACAACCUGGCGCCGUGGGCUGCCGUGCCGCAGGACUGCGUGCCGCACGUGCACGCAUACCUCACUAGCCCCGCCUACCGCUCCAACCUCGACCUCGUCAUGGGGAGGCCUCCGCCUACGCCCGCGCUGCCACCGGCGCCUGGGUCUUCGAUGUCGAUGAGACGCUGCUCUCCAAGCUCCCCUACUACGCGCAACACGGAUACGGGCUGGAGCUGUUCGACCACUGGGAGUUCGAACGGUGGGUGGAGACGGGGGAGGCGCCGGUGUUCCCCUCUAGCCUCCGCCUCUACAGGGAGGUCCACGAUGUCGGCUUCAAGACCUUCCUUCUCACCGGCCGCAGCGAGGCCCAUGAGGGUAGAAAGAGCUGUCGUGGACCUGCUAUGUAUGCCAUCACAAAAGCCUUAUGUGUUGCUUUUUUCAUGA